rnacentral:tRNA from 1 species
AAGCGAUUAGUCUAAAGAAAGACCGCUGAUUUCGGCUCAGCAAAACGUGGUUCAAACCCGCGAUCGCCUU